GGAGUUAGCCGGUGCUUCUUCUGCGAGUAACGUCACAGAUGUAAGGUAUUAACUUACACCCUUUCCUCCUCGCUGAAAGUGCUUUACAACCCGAAGGCCUUCUUCACACACGCGGCAUGGCUGCAUCAGGGUUUCCCCCAUUGUGCAAUAUUCCCCACUGCUGCCUCCCGUAGGAGUCUGGGCCGUGUCUCAGUCCCAGUGUGGCUGAUCAUCCUCUCAGACCAGCUAGGGAUCGUCGCCUAGGUGAGCCUUUACCUCACCUACUAGCUAAUCCCACCUGGGCUUAUCCAUCAGCGCAAGGCCCGAAGGUCCCCUGCUUUCCCCCGUACGGGCGUAUGCGGUAUUAGCAGUCGUUUCCAACUGUUAUCCCCCACCAAAUGGGCAAAUUCCCAGGCAUUACUCACCCGUCCGCCGCUCGUCAUCUUCAAAAGACAAGCUUUUGAAAAUAGUUACCGCUCGACUUGCAUGUGUUAGGCCUGCCGCCAGCGUUCAAUACUGAGCCAGGAUCAAACUACUGA
rnacentral:rRNA from 1 species